rnacentral:rRNA from 1 species
AUUGAACGCUGGCGGCAUGCCUUACACAUGCAAGUCGAACGGUAACAGGUCUUCGGACGCUGACGAGUGGCGAACGGGUGAGUAAUACAUCGGAACGUGCCCAGUCGUGGGGGAUAACUACUCGAAAGAGUAGCUAAUACCGCAUACGAUCUGAGGAUGAAAGCGGGGGACCUUCGGGCCUCGCGCGAUUGGAGCGGCCGAUGGCAGAUUAGGUAGUUGGUGGGAUAAAAGCUUACCAAGCCGACGAUCUGUAGCUGGUCUGAGAGGACGACCAGCCACACUGGGACUGAGACACGGCCAG